CCCUGGGGCGCCUACGUGAUUCCUUCUCCGGCCUGCGCUCGGCCCGCUGGCCCAGCAGAGGGCACCCGCCGACCCGAGCUCUUGGUUUUCGCCUCAUGUUCUUCCUGUUCCUGCCCGGAAGUGAGGGAUUUAUCCGAACUAAGCUGGCGGGAAGACUGAAGGACCCGCUGUCCCGACGCUUUAGGGGCCGUAGCCCCGGCCCAGGGAAGAGCAGCACUGAGGCACCGGCGCGGCCAAAAGCUCUUAGGAGGAACCAGUGUGCAUGCUGAAGGAGCAGCCAUGAAUUUUGGGGGCUCAUCCAGGAUUCGAGGUCCACCUGAGUGCGUAUUUUCGAGGAGGGGAGCCACAUCCCACGGCCCCCUUUGCGGUGGCCCUGAAUUGAGAGGUCCGUGCCUGUGAACUUCAAACUCCUGGAGGGUUCUCGACUGUGCAGGAGGACAGUCUGAGGAAAACAGCAACCGCAGCGACCAGGCAACUCCAGGCACAGACCAAGACAAAAGGGAUUACUAGCCACCAAUUGAUUUCCCAGUCCAUCCACAUCAGCCUGGAGACUACGUGUUAAUCAAAUCAUGGAAAGAAGACAAACUCCAACAAACCUGAAAGGGACCUUUCCUCAUGUUGCUGACCACCAAAACUGCAGUUCAAAUGGCCAAGUGAGGAUGGACUCACCACACCCAGGUAAAAAAGGGGGGCGCCAUAACAGACAAAAGGCUGUGGGUGACUUUUCUGGAAACCACCAAAACCUGGUUGGUUCAAAAAGGGUUUAAACUUAUUCCUAAUAUGAAUGACUAUUUGGGGAUCAUUAAUGUCUGGUAUUCAGGGUGGAUCAUAGGAUCCCCUAACCCUGAGAUAUUAUUGGGGCCUGGGAUUAUGGGCAGGUUAUCCACCCAAAUUAAUUAUUAACUUGACCCAGACUCCUAACCCAGUAGUCAUAAAAUUUGAUGCUUGUCAGGUCCUAGAUUGUGGAACUCUAGAAAAUCAAAAACAGCUGUCAUCCAUAAAUAUCUUUGUCCAGAACUUAGCCCACAAGAACUGUAUAGACAAGGGGGAAGACGGGAGUAUACAUACCCAUGUAUACAAAUUGGAGUGAUAUUUGGUGGACCACCAGUACCAGGGGUGGACAUUCCCCCAUACUCAUGACUUACAGGCAUUAAAGGACAAGAUUCAUCUCUCAAGGGGAGAGCUUCCAGUUAAUUGUACCCACUUAACAUGUAAUCCAAUCUUACUGACUAUCAACAAUCCAGCUACACUAGCUCAGCCACCAGAAGUGGCAACUCGUAUAUACAGUUUAGGAGCUAAUGUUUCUGGAACGGACCCAGUGGGAUGAGUGGCUCUUAGAUUGGUACCUUCAACCCAACCAAAUACUCUUCCUUCCUGGCCUCCAAGCUCUACUUCUUCCCGUAGACCCUCACCUUCCCCCAACCCCAUGCCCUCAAAAUAAUCCUAACACAGCUAAAGUAGUCAAAAUUAUCAAUCUCAAACAAACAAUUCAGAUAGAAACAGGAUAAGGGACACAAAUGCCUGGUUGGAAUGGAUAAAAUAUUCUGUGGACACCUACACAAAAUCGACUGUUAAUGUUUGUGCCACAGGGAGACCAGAGGCCCAAGUGGUUCCCUUUCUUCUGGGAUGGUCAUCAGACCCAUGGGAUCUUGAAUAUAUGUUGGCCCUCUUCCAGGACAAAACAGCUUAGAAUAACAAGUCCUAUCGGACUUUGUCACUGCUAUUCCCUGAGGUCGGAAGUUCUGCGGGUCAGCCCCCAAGAACUGUUCAGCCGCCAAAUGAAAACAUCAACUUCUCAUGUCUAGGUCAACAGGCAAAGGCAACUUUCUUAGGCAGUGUGACCAGGUGCAGUGAUAGCCAUUCCUACAACACUCUCCACAAUAAAUCCCAGUUCUGAGUGGCCCCCAGGCAGAUGUCUGGUAGUAUUGUGGGGGUCCACUAAUGAGCACCCUUCUGGAAAACUGGAGUUGCACCUGUACUUUGGUGCAAUUGGCCAUCCCUUUCACCCUGGCAUUUAGGCCCCAAUUACAAACUCAACCAAUCCAAAGAAAGUGAGACAUCACCCCUGGGGGUGGUCCUUUGACCCCAGGUCUAUAUUGACUCAGCGUUCCAAACGAAUUUAAGGCAAGAAAUCAAAUAGCCUGGUUUGUUGUCUUUUAGUGGUCAACCAUAAACAAAACUGUUUAUUGGAUAAACUACAUCUAUUACAAUCAACAAAGAUUUCAUUAUUUACACUAAAGAUGCCAUUAAAGGAAUAGCCAAACAGCUGGGACCAACCAGUCAGAUGGCAUGGGAAAAUAGACUUGCCUUAGACAUGAUGCUGACAGAAAAGGGUGGGAUCUGUGUAAUGAUGAGUAUCCAGUGCUGCAUCUUCAUUCCCAAUAACACUGCCCCAGAUGGCACCACCACCAAGGCCCUGUGCAGACUAACGACCUUAGCAGAUGAACUUUCAGAAAAUUCUGGUAUUAAUGACCCCUUCACAGACCUUUUAGAAAAUUGGCUUGGAAAAUAUAAGGGACUAAUAACUUCAGUCCUUAGCCAUCUAAUUGUCGUGUGAUCAGUGUCCUUGUCUUAGUUGGAUGUUGUAUAAUUACUCGUGCCAAGGGACGUACUGAAAGAUUAACAAACAAAUGGGACCUCCUCCCUGCCAAACCAAUAUACUAUUAAUGGACACAAUGAAAGUCAAACUAUGCUCACAGAGUUUGAAGAAAAGAAUAUCUGAUAAAAAAAAAAAAUGAAAGGGGGAAAUUGUGAGAAUUAACAUAUGUCUUUUCUAUCAAAGGAAGCCUUGUUUACUCCAUCUUGUUCCUGCUUUGUCUGAGACUCCCUCCUCCACCCCUCUCCCCUUUUCCCUCUCCUCCCAGUAACCGUUUGUUUCAAAUUAGCCAACCUAGAAAAAUGUGCACCUUGACCUUACCAGUGGGAAGGGGACAGACGUACUGCCUGUGUUAGGAAUAAAUAAUGGGUUCUUCCUUCUUCGUGUGUGCUUGGUCGCUUGCCUGCUGGUCCUGAACUGGGAGCACUUGCGCCCUUCUGCAUAAGUAAAGAGCCUUGUCGAGAUCUCCCCAUGUUCGUGUGUCUUACUUUCUGACACUAACCGUAUGAGCUGGGAUCAGUUUUCUCCAACACUCCUGAGCUUCCCCUUCCCACUGCAUACUUCCCGAAGGCAUUUAACACUUGAACCUCUUCCGUCCUGAACCUUUCAGCUGCACCACCCUCCCAUGGUUGGCUUGGAAGGAAGCCUCCCUCAGCCCCACGCCCAUUCCCCACCUUACCCCCCAGUGACCAACCCCUAAAUCCCACAACCUUCCUUCUGCUUGUCUUGAAACACUAUAUGGUCCUGCUCUCUCACCUCCUUUUCAGCUUGGGGGUAGCGCCAUGCUCCAGGUGGCUGAUGUGUCUUUCGAGCUGCAGGCUAGAAUACCUAGGUCUCAUAGACACCCAACUUGGACUCUUGGGCACAUCCCCCUCCCCAUGACUGAAACAGCUUAUCAUCAUCAUCCUCACAACCGGCCUUGUACGGACUUCACCACAUUGAAUGAAUGUUACAGCCAUCCUUUCACCCACCCCACCCAUGUUCAAGGCACACAUUAAGCCACUGGGUACAUGUCAUCCACUUGUCUGAAAAUUAACUGACAGCACGGGGGAGCAUAUCAGACAAAACCUCUGCCCUGUCAUAAUUGCAUACUUUCUCACUGUGCAAUUGGGCCUGAAGGAGGGGUGCAGGGAAGAAUGAGGAUGUGACGGGAUGGUUCUGCAAGUCAUGGAAGUCUUCCCAGAGACAGUACAUUAAGCUGUUCCUUGAAGAACAAGCGGGACUUAACUAGGUAAGGACAAGGUGUACACUCCAGGUGCAGAGUUGGGAAGGAAAUAGGGCACUCACUCCCAGAUCUCUCCCCGCCAUCCAUGUCCCUACACCAGCCUGGCCCAAGCCUUCAACUUCUGCCUGGAUUGUAACAGGCUCUCAGGUUUUCUCCCACAUUGACCUGUGGUCUUCAGUUCAUUCUCAGCAAAAAUCAAAUCUAAGCAUGUCUGUCGCACACUUGUCAGUCUUCCCUUGAUAUUAGGAUAAGGGCAAAAGCCUUGACAGACCUGCAAGAGCCCUACCUUGUCUGGGCUCUUCCAGCUCUGCAGCCCCAUGUCUUACACUCUACUAUAUUCUGUGCAUUCCCUCCAGGCCCUCAAGCCCCAGCCUGCCCCAGGGCCUUGGCAAGUACCAUGCCACUUUCUCAGGGAAAAUUUCUCCUUACCAUUCCUAUCCUGUGCUCUCCAGCACAUCCCAUCAGGGGACCAUGUCCCUUUGGCUCACAGAGUCUGCUUGUGAUGGUUGAUCUGUGAAGCUGUUAAUCUUGUGACUGCUGGUCUUCCCAUGCGAGCCAUCUCUGUUCAGUGUUUCCUUAGUGCCUACAAGAGCCCAACACAAGUAUUCCACCCCACAGCUCUGUUCUGGGACCUUACCUAGGGCACUUGAUGUUUGUGGCCUCAGUAUUAUGUAAAAUGUAACCAAUACUAGCCAUUCAAACUAGCUCUCAGAAGCAAAUCUAUUAUUUAGUGGAUUAAAAAGCACUUGAUAAAGGAGUUCCUGUUGUGGCUCAGUGGUAAUGAACCUGACUAGGAUCCAUGAGGACUUAGGUUCGAUCCCUGGCCCUCUUUAGUGAGUUAAGGAUCCGGUAUUACCAUGAGCUAUGGUGUAGGUCACAGAUGAGGCUCAGAUCCUCUGUGGCUAUGGCUGUGGCUGGUAGCUGUAGCUCCAAUUGGACCCUUAGCCAGGGAAGCUCCAUAUAAUGCAGGUGUUGAUCCCCCCCCAUCAAAAAAACCACUUGGGAGGGGGAGGGAGUGGGAGGGAUCGGGAGCUUGGGCUUAUCAGACACAACUUAGAAUAGAUUUACAAGGAGAUCCUGCUGAAUAGCAUUGAGAACUUUGUCUAGAUACUCAUGUUGCAACAGAACAAAGGGUGGGGAAAAAAAUGUAAUGUAUACAUGUAAGGAUAACUUGAUCACCUUGCUGUACAGUGGGAAAAUUAAAAAAAAAAAACCCACUUGAUGGAAGUACCAUCCCCAAAGUUAAGAAUUAAGUUACAAGAGAUUUUUAACAGAACAAAACAGAUGUUCACAGUCCCAACUUUAUUUUCAUUUGGCCACACACACUUUAAAAAACACAAAUGCUUAUAAAAUACCCAAACAUCAGAAAUUAGAAGGGCAUAAAACAAGGGACUUACAGGCAAAAAGAAUAUCCUAGGCUUCAGAACAAACAAAACCGACUCAAAAAUUUCUUUUUUCAAAACACAAAAAUAUUUUGUUUUUAAUGGGAUUUAAGUGGUGGUAGUUUUUUGGAAAAAAGAAAAAAGAAAACUCUGGGGACAACAACUAAGCUUCUUGUGUUGCCUGAGGCAGGGCCUGGCUUCUCUCUUCC